UACAGAGGUCUCAAGCGUUGUUCGGAUUCAUUGGGCGUAAAGGGUGCGUAGGCGGCGCGGUAAGUCGGGUGUGAAAUCUCGGAGCUUAACUCCGAAACUGCAUUCGAUACUGCCGUGCUUGAGGACUGGAGAGGAGACUGGAAUUUACGGUGUAGCGGUGAAAUGCGCAGAUAUCGGGAGGAACACCAGUAGCGAAGGCGGCACUCUGGGCCGUGACUGACGCUGAGGAGCGAAAGCGUGGGUAGCAAACAGG
rnacentral:rRNA from 1 species